rnacentral:rRNA from 1 species
GAUGAACGCUGGCGGCGUGCCUAAUACAUGCAAGUCGAGCGAACGGACGAGAAGCUUGCUUCUCUGAUGUUAGCGGCGGACGGGUGAGUAACACGUGGAUAACCUACCUAUAAGACUGGGAUAACUUCGGGAAACCGUAGCUAAUACCGGAUAAUAUUUUGAACCGCAUGGUUCAAAAGUGAAAGACGGUCUUGCUGUCACUUAUAGAUGGAUCCGCGCUGCAUUAGCUAGUUGGUAAGGUAACGGCUUACCAAGGCAACGAUGCAUAGCCGACCCGAGAGGGUGAUCGGCCACACUGGAACUGAGGCACGGUCCAGACUCCUACGGGAGGCAGCAGUAGGGAAUCUUCCGCAAUGGGCGAAAGCCUGACGGAGCAACGCCGCGUGAGUGAUGAAGAUCUUCGGAUCGUAAAACUCUGUUAUUAGGGAAGAACAUAUGUGUAAGUAACUGUGCACAUCUUGACGGUACCUAAUCAGAAAGCCACGGCUAACUACGUG